GGUAUAGCUCAGAGGGUAGAGCAUCAGAUUUGUAAUCUGACGGGCGGAGGUUCAAGUCCUCCUA
rnacentral:tRNA from 1 species